rnacentral:rRNA from 1 species
UUGCUCUCUGAUGGCGAGUGGCGAACGGGUGAGUAACAUAUCGGAACGUGCCUAAUAGCGGGGGAUAGCCCGGAGAAAUCCGGAUUAAUACCGCAUAAUCUCUACGGAGUAAAGAGGGCCUCUAUUUAUAAGCUUUCACUAUUUGAUGAGCCUGCGUAAGAUUAGCUUGUUGGUGAGGUAAAAGCUCACCAAGGCGACGAUCUUUAGCUGGUCUGAGAGGAUGAUCAGCCACACUGGGACUGAGACACGGCCCAGACUCC